rnacentral:rRNA from 1 species
UACGUAGGAGGCAAGCGUUGUCCGGAAUUACUGGGCGUAAAGCGCGUGUAGGUGGUGGGACAAGUCUGCUGUGAAAGCGCCUGGCUUAACCGGGCGAGGUCGGCGGAAACUGUCCGACUCGAGGACGGUAGAGGGGGGUGGAAUUCCCGGUGUAGUGGUGAAAUGCGUUAGAGAUCGGGAGGAACACCUGUGGCGAAGGCGGCCCCCUGGGCCGGCCCUGACACUGAGACGCGAAGGCGUGGGGAGCGAACGGG